rnacentral:lncRNA from 1 species
GCCUUCCCCAGCCAUGCUGAAUUCCUUUUCAGAUUAAUGCCAAGAAAAUAUAUGCAGAAGAGACACCCAUGUCAUUGAACAAGAGGUUCUAAUAUUACAUAACAGGGUAGUGGUAUGUAGCUGUAGUGGUAUGUGCUCUCUCUCAAUGCUGAGCUGCAGCUCCCAGUCAGCCACUGGAUCAUGAGGGUAAAAUACGGAUACUUGACAUCUUCUUAAAGAACAUCAUGCCUGCUAAGCCAUCCAGUUUGGAUGCCCCAGUGCCUUCCACCAGCCAUUCUCAAGCCUCAUUAGAAGAGAGAGAUUGAUGACCCUGUAGCUGCAGCAUCCCAUCAUCCUGCAUUUUAGUUCAAUGCUUCAAACGUUCUUCAGGCCCAGUGUGCUUUCAGCUGUGUAUGUUAAUGGUCCCACCUCCAACGU